rnacentral:sRNA from 1 species
UUCCCCUCCACGGUCCUCUCGGGAUCUACUAUUCUGUGGAGGAGGGCAUAUCUCAAAAAUUCGAAAUGGGAUAUACGUGAAUUGGCUUCCCGCGCAACAGUCAAUCACUCCUCUCGCCACCAUUCACGAAGUUGUGCCGAUAUUCAAAAUCAGUGCAUAGCAUCGAAGUUAUGACAAUGCAUUUAUUUCAAACGGGAGAGCACUCAGUGAUAAAGCCACGGGGACAUAAACAGAACAUGAAGAAUUAACGUCCCUCGUCAAGAGAAGUCUAUGCUCCUUAUCAGGAUUUUUAGGUACAGUAGUAGUACGGGGUACAUCGUUGGGAUAUACCUCUACUUGUAGUUGCAAUACACAAUCCGGUCUCUGCAAUAUAUGUAUGUGAUUGACACUACUAUUGU